GAUGAACGCUAGCGGCAGGCCUAACACAUGCAAGUCGAGGGGUAGAAUUAGCUUGCUAAUUUGAGACCAGCGCACGGGUGCGUAACGCGUAUGCAAUCUGCCUUGUACUGAGGGAUAGCCCAGAGAAAUUUGGAUUAAUACCUCAUAGUAUUAUGAAAUCGCAUGGUUUUAUAAUUAAAGUUCCAACGGUACAAGAUGAGCAUGCGUCCCAUUAGUUAGUUGGUAAGGUAACGGCUUACCAAGACGACGAUGGGUAGGGGUCCUGAGAGGGAGAUCCCCCACACUGGUACUGAGACACGGACCAGACUCCUACGGGAGGCAGCAGUGAGGAAGAUUGGUCAAUGGGCGCAAGCCUGAACCAGCCAUGCCGCGUGCAGGAUGACGGUCCUAUGGAUUGUAAACUGCUUUUAUACGGGAAGAAACACUCCUACGUGUAGGAACUUGACGGUACUCGCAGAAGAAGCCCCGGCUAACUCCGUGCCAGCAGCCGCCGUAAGAC
rnacentral:rRNA from 1 species